GGAAGAAGGGGUGAGAGGGAGAAACCUGCCGCCGCUCGCCGCCUCUUUGUCUGCUCCGGGACUUGGAACAAAAGGGGGAACUCUGAUGAACUCUCUCUCCUCCCCUCUCCCCCGGACGCCCGCCCGGGUAUCUCCCUCUCCCAACUUUGCCGCCGCGACUUUCUCCGCUGUCAGGCCACACAAAAGUGUCCUAGCGCCUCGCAGACUGCAACGAGGGGCAUGUCUCUUAAAAGUGCGACGAAGUGGAGAAGAAGGUAUAAUUAUUAUUAUCAGCAUCUAGAAAGCGUCGUGCGGUGCGUUGACCUUCGCCAUACUGCAUUGUUCUUACUGGAUCUUUCUAUCAGUGAACAUUAUGGAAGUACCAGUGCAACAUCAAGUCAUUCCUGGAUGAAAAGUUAUCAGACUUGUUCUUUUGGAGUUACUUAAAAGUUAAAAUGUCAGGAUUUUUGAUGAUGCCUUCUCUAAAUGGAUUACUACAAUUUGAUCACUGGGAAUUCUCCGCCUUAAAGAAGGCCGGCUCCGCCCUUAUCCCCGGGUCGCGUCAGAAUUAUCGCUUUUUCUCUGCUUGGGAUUCAUAAAGGUAAGAAGGGCAAGCUUGGUCUGUUUUGCAUGCAGCUGUUUUUACAUUAUCUUUUACCUUCCAUGUGAAAUCACUUUUCCCCUCUUACUCCACCUGCCUUGAAGAGACAGGACAAGCAGAGGGAAUGUGAAGAUGAAUUCAAGGGCGGCAAUAAAAUCCUUAGCCACCAGAUUUUUUUUGCGUGAAGUUACAAGUUCAUAGUAACUGCUCAACAUUCAAACUUGAAUGGAGAAGCCAGUCUUGAUUCUUCAGUAGUGUGAUCAGUCAAUUAAGCUUGUAUUAGGCAUCUUGUCUUAAUAUUUCCCUUCUCUCAGCUUCUCCUCAACCCCAGAGAUCACGUCUCUGCAUGUGUCAAACUUCCUUUUCUCUCCUUGUAUUUCAUUCUUCCGGGAUCUGUAAAGUGUCCAAGUUCUCAGAGCUCACUUAAAAAUGGAUCGAGUCCAGAGGGACCAGUGCCGACUUCUCAUUCAUCUAUCAGAGUUCCAAAUUUACAGGCUUGUACCUACCAAGAGAGGUGAGAGAGGAGGAAAAAGAGAGUGAGGUCUCCAUCUCCAGGAAGGGAGGCGUUGCCUCUGUUUGUGGCAGGACUGUUCCCUUCAGGUUCGCUCUCUCCAAGGUGAAUCCUGAGCUGAGCUGUACAGGGCUGAAUCAGCUGGAAUCCAGAGGAGUGAGACAAGAGUUUGGCUAGGACCCUGUGACUUAGCUUUGUGGUCAAGGAAGAAUAUGUAAAUUCACUGAUUUCCCAGGCAUUUCAGCCCUAAAGGAAGAGGAUUAGGGCAAUCCAAGAGUCUUGACCUUACUGUGAGGCUGAAUUAUAACUAGAGCCUGUUUUAACGAGCACAGCUUGAGUUUCAUACUUGAAAUAAAGCUUGAAUCAAAAUACUCUCCACUCUUCCCAUAUUCUGAUGGGAAAUUUAUUAAAUGUUAAAGUCUAAUCUGAAAGCAAACAUAGCUUUAAAUAAAACCUUGCAAUGUCAUUUAACAGUGUUUAUAACUUGAAUGACGAGUGUCUGGGUCUAAUAACCCAGAUAGGAAAAGGAAUUCCACGGCCCUCCUUCCCAAUCGGGACCUGUCUGGGAGCGUUUAUUUGUACUGAGUUUUCCAGUCUGAAAGUCUGUGUCAUUGUUUAGAUUCUGCCUGAAUAAACAGGCAGAACGAUAAACUUCCUCUUCAGGUGAGGUUUGUAUCUUUGAACCAGACCAUAGCCUCUAAGCCAUGGCUUUCCUGUCCAGAGGCUGCAUCGUCAGGUCUGCAGAUGUUUUGGGGAGGUCCUACUGUGUGCCCAGACUUGUCCUGUGUACUCAUAGGCAUAAUGAUGAUGACAAUGAUACACAGCCCCUAACGAAGUUAUAGUCAUUUGGGGAAAGUGAAUCGGACACACGUGAAAUAAGAUGCUCAUUUAGGAAAAUCCUCAAGUAAAUAUAGUCAAAUGGCAUGAUGUCACAUGUCAAAUUCAGCUCAAGCAGAUAUUAUGCACUUAGUAAUCAGGAAGAGGAAAAAAGAGUGUUGGCUUAGUUAUUGGAGGAAGGUUUGAUGAAAUAAAUUGGAUUUGAUAGGGUCUGUGCAGAAUGUGUUCAAUUUGGGGUGCCAGAUUUUAAAAGAGUAACCAGUAAAAUUAGCCUAGAGCGUCCCAUUUGGGUACCAUGCAUGGCUUACGAGCGUGCUAGGCAUCCACCCCCACAGUCCUGGCUGGGACCUGAACCUAGGGUCUGAGUCGGCCCUGCCCCAAACCCUUAUUUAUUUUUCCGAUUUGCUGUGCAGAUAUUAUCAUUUCUCUGUGUGCAUGACAUGAAUAAUAUUAGGCAGCACUGAAUUAGAGGGUGUUUUGGAUGGAAAAACUUCUAGAAACCAGGUCCCAUGAGGAAUAGUUGAAGGGCCUUGGCAAAUGAGCUUGGAGCUAUGAAGAUUAUGGACAAACAUAACAGUGGUUUUCAAACAUUGCAAAGACCAUUUUGUUCCAGAACAAGGUGAUUUGUUAUAGAUCAAUCUAGGGUGCAGAAUUGGGCCUAUUGGGUGGAUGUACCAGUGAGCAUACAAGAGUUCAGCUCAAAUAAGAGUUUUCUCACAGUUAAAAUGUCUGACAGAGCCCUGUUUGUCAGAACGGUGAAUUCCUCAUCCGGAAGGUGUGAAGGAGAAGUUGGAUGUCUAUAUGGCUGGCUGUGUAGAUAGGUGGCAGGGUUGGACUAAGGGACUCCAAGAUUGCUUUUAACUCUAAUAUCUUGAUCCCUGGGUGUGUAUUUAGGAAACCCAGGCAAAUAGAAAGCAUGGCGGCUUUCUAGGCAGAGUUCACUAUAGCAUGGACAAACAUGUCAAGGGAACAAGGAGAACUGGAGAUGUCCCUGGUCAGCUGUGUGAUGACAAAUGACGAAAGCAUGAGAUCGAUGGUAGAGAACUUUAAAUAUUCUGAUAGUCAAUGGGGAACCAUCUUGCUUCCUGUCCUGUGGUAGGAUAUGAUAAAACCAUAUCCUUUGAGAAAGCUUUGCUUUCUAUCCUGUCCUAGAGGCAUGUAGGUCAGUAAGAGAGAGAGAAAGGGAGGGAGAGAGGGAGAGAGAGAGAGAGAUUGAUUGAUUUGAUUGAUUACACUUAGGGAGAACACCCGGGAACUUUCCCCAGUUCUCCAUCACCUUACGUAUGCUAUGGUGACGGUAAUGGAAACAGAGAAAAAGGGGCGAAAGCAGAAUUACUGGAAGGACGAAUAUGGGAUUCCUUGAAAAUGGCUCUGAAACAGGAUUCUCCAAAUUAUUAAUUGGAAGUUAUGUGGCUGAUUUUUUAGAUCAGCAGAGCACAAUCAAGUGUUUACAUUUUGGUCCGCCAUUCAAGCUGACCAGUGACCUGAGACAAGUCAUUAAAAUUCCUCGUGUUCUAAUUCCCUGGUCAGGUCAUCCUAGCAAGAGAGAAUAGUUACAAAACAUUCCGAUUCCUGGAUGAAAGGUUCCUUGUUAUAAUCAUAUCAUGCUACAAUUAUUCUUGUUAUUGGGGCUAUUAUUCUCAGUUGCAACAAUGAUGCAAAUUUAUAUUUCCUACCUUAGGGAUAUUUUUGUCUUGCAGCUGGAUUCUGAAAGUGGCUUUCCUGUGAGAUGUUCUUUGAAAGACUGGCACAUCUUUCAAAUAUUUGUUUUAAUAUUGGUUCAUCGAGGGAAUGUGAGUAUUAUGUAAUAUUGAAGAUUAUCACUCCUAUUUCCCCCCCUCAAUCUAGUAUCUAGAAUAUAUUGAAAAUCCUUCAGCCUC
ensembl:lncRNA